rnacentral:rRNA from 1 species
GUCGUCAGCUCGUGUCGUGAGAUGUUCGGUUAAGUCCGCUAACGAGCGCAACCCUCGUCGUAUGUUAUAUGUGUCAUACGAGACUGCCGGUAAAAGCCGGAGGAAGGUGAGGAUGAUGUCAAGUCAGCAUGACCUUUAUAUCCAGGGCUACACACACGCUACAAUGGUCUGUACAAUGGGUAGCCAAGCCGCGAGGCGGAGCCAAUCCUGAAAGCAGGCCUCAGUUCAGAUUGCAGUCUGCAACUCGACUGCAUGAAGCCGGAGUUGCUAGUAACCGCAGGUCAGCAAUACUGCGGUGAAUACGUUCCCGGGUCUU